UACGUAGGGUGCGAGCGUUAAUCGGAAUUACGUGGCGUAAAGCGUGCGCAGGCGGUUUUGUAAGCCAGAUGUGAAAGCCCCGGGCUUAACCUGGGAAUGGCAUUUGGGACUGCAAGGCUUGAGUGCGGCAGAGGAGACUGGAAUUCCUGGUGUAGCAGUGAAAUGCGUAGAUAUCAGGAGGAAUACCGAUGGCGAAGGCAGGUCUCUGGGCUGACACUGACGCUCAUGCACGAAAGCGUGGGGAGCAAACAGG
rnacentral:rRNA from 1 species